rnacentral:rRNA from 1 species
GACGAACGCUGGCGGCGUGCUUAACACAUGCAAGUCGAGCGCCUCGCAAGGGGAGCGGCAGACGGGUGAGUAACGCGUGGGAACGUACCCUUUGCUACGGAAUAGCUCCGGGAAACUGGAAUUAAUACCGUAUGUGCCCUACGGGGGAAAGAUUUAUCGGCAAAGGAUCGGCCCGCGUUGGAUUAGCUAGUUGGUGUGGUAAUGGCCUACCAAUGCGACGAUCCAUAGCUGGUCUGAGAGGAUGAUCAGCCACAUUGGGACUGAGACCCGGCCCAAACUCAUACGGGAGGCAGCAGUGGGGAAUAUUGGACAAUGGGCGCAAGCCUGAUCCAGCCAUGCCGCGUGAGUGAUGAAGGCCUUAGGGUUGUAAAGCUCUUUCACCGGAGAAGAUAAUGACGGUAUCCGGAGAAGAAGCCCCGGCUAACUUCGUGCCAGCCGCCGCAGUAAAAC